GGUUAAGCGACUAAGCGUACACGGUGGAUGCCCUGGCAGUCAGAGGCGAUGAAGGACGUGCUAAUCUGCGAAAAGCGUCGGUAAGGUGAUAUGAACCGUUAUAACCGGCGAUGUCCGAAUGGGGAAACCCAGUGCAAUUCGUUGCACUAUCGUUAACUGAAUACAUAGGUUAACGAGGCGAACCGGGGGAACUGAAACAUCUAAGUACCCCGAGGAAAAGAAAUCAACCGAGAUUCCCCCAGUAGCGGCGAGCGAACGGGGAGCAGCCCAGAGUCUGAAUCAGCUUGUGUGUUAGUGGAACGGUCUGGAAAGUCCGACGGUACAGGGUGAUAGUCCCGUACACCAAAAUGCACAGGCUGUGAACUCGAAGAGUAGGGCGGGACACGUGGUAUCCUGUCUGAAUAUGGGGGGACCAUCCUCCAAGGCUAAAUACUCCUGACUGACCGAUAGUGAACCAGUACCGUGAGGGAAAGGCGAAAAGAACCCCGGCGAGGGGAGUGAAAAAGAACCUGAAACCGUGUACGUACAAGCAGUGGGAGCACCUUCGGGUGUGACUGCGUACCUUUUGUAUAAUGGGUCAGCGACUUAUAUUCUGUAGCAAGGUUAACCGUAUAGGGGAGCCGCAGGGAAACCGAGUCUUAACUGGGCGUUAAGUUGCAGGGUAUAGACCCGAAACCCGGUGAUCUAGCCAUGGGCAGGUUGAAGGUUGGGUAACACUAACUGGAGGACCGAACCGACUAAUGUUGAAAAAUUAGCGGAUGACUUGUGGCUGGGGGUGAAAGGCCAAUCAAACCGGGAGAUAGCUGGUUCUCCCCGAAAGCUAUUUAGGUAGCGCCUCGUGAACUCAUCUUCGGGGGUAGAGCACUGUUUCGGCUAGGGGGUCAUCCCGACUUACCAACCCGAUGCAAACUACGAAUACCGAAGAAUGUUAUCACGGGAGACACACGGCGGGUGCUAACGUCCGUCGUGAAGAGGGAAACAACCCAGACCGCCAGCUAAGGUCCCAAAGUCAUGGUUAAGUGGGAAACGAUGUGGGAAGGCACAGACAGCCAGGAUGUUGGCUUAGAAGCAGCCAUCAUUUAAAGAAAGCGUAAUAGCUCACUGGUCGAGUCGGCCUGCGCGGAAGAUGUAACGGGGCUAAACCAUGCACCGAAGCUGCGGCAGCGACACUAUGUGUUGUUGGGUAGGGGAGCGUUCUGUAAGCCUGCGAAGGUGUGCUGUGAGGCAUGCUGGAGGUAUCAGAAGUGCGAAUGCUGACAUAAGUAACGAUAAAGCGGGUGAAAAGCCCGCUCGCCGGAAGACCAAGGGUUCCUGUCCAACGUUAAUCGGGGCAGGGUGAGUCGACCCCUAAGGCGAGGCCGAAAGGCGUAGUCGAUGGGAAACAGGUUAAUAUUCCUGUACUUGGUGUUACUGCGAAGGGGGGACGGAGAAGGCUAUGUUAGCCGGGCGACGGUUGUCCCGGUUUAAGCAUGUAGGCUGGUUGUCCAGGCAAAUCCGGAUAAUCAAGGCUGAGGUGUGAUGACGAGGCACUACGGUGCUGAAGUAACAAAUGCCCUGCUUCCAGGAAAAGCCUCUAAGCAUCAGGUAACAUCAAAUCGUACCCCAAACCGACACAGGUGGUCAGGUAGAGAAUACCAAGGCGCUUGAGAGAACUCGGGUGAAGGAACUAGGCAAAAUGGUGCCGUAACUUCGGGAGAAGGCACGCUGGUGUGUAGGUGAAG
rnacentral:rRNA from 1 species